rnacentral:tRNA from 1 species
GGGGCCAUAGCUCAGCUGGGAGAGCGCUUGCAUGGCAUGCAAGAGGUCGCGGGUUCGAAUCCCACUGGCUCCA